rnacentral:rRNA from 1 species
UACGUAGGGUGCAAGCGUUGUCCGGAAUUAUUGGGCGUAAAGAGCUCGUAGGCGGUCUGUCGCGUCUGCUGUGAAAACUCGGGGCUUAACCCCGGGCCUGCAGUGGGUACGGGCAGACUAGAGUGCGGUAGGGGAGACUGGAAUUCCUGGUGUAGCGGUGAGAUGCGCAGAUAUCAGGAAGAACACCCGUGGCGAAGGCGGCUCUCUGGGACGGUACUGACGCUGAGACGCGAAAGCGUGGGGAGCGAACAGG